AAGUCAGCCAGGAGACUAUAAAAUUCAUACUGAUGAGACUGGACGAAAUAGCUAGUAACGUUAUUAGCUAUCUAUGA
rnacentral:ribozyme from 1 species